GACGAACGCUGGCGGCGUGCCUAAUACAUGCAAGUAGAACGCUGAAGAGAGGAGCUUGCUCUUCUUGGAUGAGUUGCGAACGGGUGAGUAACGCGUAGGUAACCUGCCUUGUAGCGGGGGAUAACUAUUGGAAACGAUAGCUAAUACCGCAUAACAAUGGGUGACACAUGUCAUUUAUUUGAAAGGGGCAACUGCUCCACUACAAGAUGGACCUGCGUUGUAUUAGCUAGUAGGUGAGGUAACGGCUCACCUAGGCGACGAUACAUAGCCGACCUGAGAGGGUGAUCGGCCACACUGGGACUGAGACACGGCCCAGACUCCUACGGGAGGCAGCAGUAGGGAAUCUUCGGCAAUGGGGGCAACCCUGACCGAGCAACGCCGCGUGAGUGAAGAAGGUUUUCGGAUCGUAAAGCUCUGUUGUAAGUCAAGAACGAGUGUGAGAGUGGAAAGUUCACACUGUGACGGUAGCUUACCAGAAAGGGACGGCUAACUACGUGCCAGCAGCCGCGGUAAUACGUAGGUCCCGAGCGUUGUCCGGAUUUAUUGGGCGUAAAGCGAGCGCAGGCGGUUUGAUAAGUCUGAAGUUAAAGGCUGUGGCUCAACCAUAGUUCGCUUUGGAAACUGUCAAACUUGAGUGCAGAAGGGGAGAGUGGAAUUCCAUGUGUAGCGGUGAAAUGCGUAGAUAUAUGGAGGAACACCGGUGGCGAAAGCGGCUCUCUGGUCUGUAACUGACGCUGAGGCUCGAAAGCGUGGGGAGCGAACAGG
rnacentral:rRNA from 1 species